rnacentral:rRNA from 1 species
UACGUAGGGUGCGAGCGUUAAUCGGAAUUACUGGGCGUAAAGCGUGCGCAGGCGGUUUUGUAAGCCAGAUGUGAAAUCCCCGGGCUUAACCUGGGAAUGGCAUUUGGGACUGCAAGGCUUGAGUGCGGCAGAGGAGACUGGAAUUCCUGGUGUAGCAGUGAAAUGCGUAGAUAUCAGGAGGAACACCGGUGGCGAAGGCGCACAUCUGGCCCGAUACUGACGCUGAGGCAGCGAAGACGUGGGGAGCGAACAGG